rnacentral:rRNA from 1 species
UACAGAGGGGGCAAGCGUUAUUCGGAAUUAUUGGGCGUAAAGAGCGUGUAGGCGGUCCGGUAAGUCGGUUGUGAAAGUCCAGGGCUCAACCCUGGGAUGCCGAUCGAUACUGCCGGACUAGAGUCCGGAAGAGGCGAGUGGAAUUCCCCGGUGUAGCGGUGAAAUGCGUAGAGAUUUGGAGGAACACCAAUUGCGAAGGCAGCUCGCUGGGACGUGACUGACGCUGAGACGCGAAAGCGUGGGGAGCAAACAGG